rnacentral:tRNA from 1 species
GCCUGGCUAGCUCAGUCGGUAGAGCACGGGACUCUUAAUCCCGGGGUCGUGGGUUCAAGCCCCACGUUGGGCG